UACGGAGGGUGCGAGCGUUGUCCGGAAUCACUGGGCGUAAAGGGCGCGUAGGUGGCCCGUUAAGUGGCUGGUGAAAUCCCGCGGCUCAACUGCGGGGCUGCCGGUCAUACUGGCGAGCUAGAGCACGGUAGGGGCAGAUGGAAUUCCCGGUGUAGCGGUGGAAUGCGUAGAUAUCGGGAGGAACACCAGUGGCGAAGGCGGCUCUCUGGACCUCUGCUGACGCUGAGGCGCGAAAACGUGGGGAGCGAUCCGG
rnacentral:rRNA from 1 species